rnacentral:snoRNA from 1 species
UUUGCCAGUGAUGACAUGUUUACUCAAAACUUCGAACUUGAAAUGAGAUAAUAACAUGCACUACCAACUGAGGCAAC